rnacentral:rRNA from 1 species
GACGAACGCUGGCGGCGUGCUUAACACAUGCAAGUCGAACGGAAAGGCCCUGCUUUCGUGGGGUGCUCGAGUGGCGAACGGGUGAGUAACACGUGAGUAACCUGCCCUUGACUUUGGGAUAACUUCAGGAAACUGGGGAUAAUACCGGAUAGGAGCUCCUGCUGCAUGGUGGGGGUUGGAAAGUUUCGGCGGUUGGGGAUGGACUCGCGGCUUAUCAGCUUGUUGGUGGGGUAGUGGCUUACCAAGGCUUUGACGGGUAGGCGGCCUGAGAGGGUGACCCGCCAGAUGGGAACUGGAGACGGCCCCAGACUCAGUGAGGAGCCAGCAGUUGCACUCAUUGCACCGCGGGGGGAAGCGUGCAGCGCAAGAGGCGCGUGCGGAAUGACGGUCUUCGGGUUCGCAGGAGGGGUCGCCUGUGACGGAGCGUUAGUGACGGUAAUGGGUAAGAGAGCACCGGCUAACUACGU